UGUGAAGUCAUUGAUGCCAUGCUUCCAGGAAAAGCCUCUAAGCUUCAGAUUGUAAGGAAUCGUACCCCAAACCGACACAGGUGGUCGGGUAGAGAAUACCAAGGCGCUUGAGAGAACUCGGGUGAAGGAACUAGGCAAAAUGGUACCGUAACUUCGGGAGAAGGUACGCUCUCGACGGUGAAGUCCCUUGCGGAUGGAGCUAUUGAGAGUCGCAGAUACCAGGUGGCUGCAACUGUUUAUUAAAAACACAGCACUGUGCAAAAUCGUAAGAUGACGUAUACGGUGUGACGCCUGCCCGGUGCCGGAAGGUUAAUUGAUGGGGUUAGACUUCGGUCGAAGCUCUUGAUCGAAGCCCCGGUAAACGGCGGCCGUAACUAUAACGGUCCUAAGGUAGCGAAAUUCCUUGUCGGGUAAGUUCCGACCUGCACGAAUGGCGUAAUGAUGGCCACGCUGUCUCCACCCGAGACUCAGUGAAAUUGAAAUCGCUGUGAAGAUGCAGUGUACCCGCGGCUAGACGGAAAGACCCCGUGAACCUUUACUACAGCUUGGCACUGAACAUUGACCCUACAUGUGUAGGAUAGGUGGGAGGCUUUGAAGCACGUACGCCAGUAUGUGUGGAGCCGUCCUUGAAAUACCACCCUUGUAGUGUUGAUGUUCUAACGUCGACCCCUAAUCGGGGUUGCGGACAGUGCCUGGUGGGUAGUUUGACUGGGGCGGUCUCCUCCCAAAGAGUAACGGAGGAGCACGAAGGUGGGCUAAUCACGGUUGGACAUCGUGAGGUUAGUGCAAUGGCAUAAGCCCGCUUGACUGCGAGAAUGACAAUUCGAGCAGGUGCGAAAGCAGGUCAUAGUGAUCCGGUGGUUCUGAAUGGAAGGGCCAUCGCUCAACGGAUAAAAGGUACUCCGGGGAUAACAGGCUGAUACCGCCCAAGAGUUCAUAUCGACGGCGGUGUUUGGCACCUCGAUGUCGGCUCAUCACAUCCUGGGGCUGAAGUCGGUCCCAAGGGUAUGGCUGUUCGCCAUUUAAAGUGGUACGCGAGCUGGGUUUAGAACGUCGUGAGACAGUUCGGUCCCUAUCUGCCGUGGGCGUUGGAAGAUUGAAGGGGGCUGCUCCUAGUACGAGAGGACCGGAGUGGACGAACCUCUGGUGUUCGGGUUGUGUCGCCAGACGCAUUGCCCGGUAGCUAAGUUCGGAAUCGAUAACCGCUGAAAGCAUCUAAGCGGGAAGCGAGCCCUGAGAUGAGUCUUCCCUGAUACUUUAAGUAUCCUAAAGGGUUGUCGGAGACUACGACGUUGAUAGGUCAGGUGUGUAAGUGCUGUGAGGCAUUGAGCUAACUGAUACUAAUUGCCCGUGAGGCUUAACCAUACAACACCCAAGGGGUUU
rnacentral:rRNA from 1 species